AGUGAACGCUGGCGGUAGGCCUAACACGUGCAAGUCGAACGGCAGCACAGUAAGAGCUUGCUCUUACGGGUGGCGAGUGGCGGACGGGUGAGGAAUACAUCGGAAUCUACUUUUUCGUGGGGGAUAACGUAGGGAAACUUACGCUAAUACCGCAUACGACCUACGGGUGAAAGCAGGGGAUCUUCGGACCUUGCGCGAUUGAAUGAGCUGAUGUCGGAUUAGCUAGUUGGCGGGGUAAAGGCCCACCAAGGCGACGAUCCGUAGCUGGUCUGAGAGGAUGAUCAGCCACACUGGAACUGAGACACGGUCCAGACUCCUACGGGAGGCAGCAGUGGGGAAUAUUGGACAAUGGGCGCAAGCCUGAUCCAGCCAUACCGCGUGGGUGAAGAAGGCCUUCGGGUUGUAAAGCCCUUUUGUUGGGAAAGAAAAGCAGCAGGUUAAUACCCCGCUGUUCUGACGGUACCCAAAGAAUAAGCACCGGCUAACUUCGUG
rnacentral:rRNA from 1 species